rnacentral:rRNA from 1 species
GACGAACGCUGGCGGCGUGCUUAACACAUGCAAGUCGAACGGAAAGGCCCUGCUUUUGUGGGGUGCUCGAGUGGCGAACGGGUGAGUAACACGUGAGUAACCUGCCCUUGACUUUGGGAUAACUUCAGGAAACUGGGGCUAAUACCGGAUAGGAGCUCCUGCUGCAUGGUGGGGGAUGGAAAGUUUCGGCGGUUGGGGAUGGACUCGCGGCUUAUCAGCUUGUUGGUGGGGUAGUGGCUUACCAAGGCUUUGACGGGUAGCCGGCCUGAGAGGGUGACCGGCCACAUUGGGACUGAGAUACGGCCCAGACUCCUACGGGAGGCAGCAGUGGGGAAUAUUGCACAAUGGGCGGAAGCCUGAUGCAGCAACGCCGCGUGCGGGAUGAAGGCCUUCGGGUUGUAAACCGCUUUCGCCUGUGACGAAGCGUGAGUGACGGUAAUGGGUAAAGAAGCACCGGCUAACUACGUG